CACGUAGGGUGCGAGCGUUGUCCGGAAUUAUUGGGCGUAAAGAGCUCGUAGGCGGUUUGUUGCGUCGGCUGUGAAAUCCCGAGGCUCAACCUCGAGACGCCGAUGGAAACCAUCUGACUAGAGUCCGGAAGAGGAGAGUGGAAUUCCUGGUGUAGCGGUGAAAUGCGCAGAUAUCAGGAAGAACACCCGUGGCUAAGGCGGCUCUCUAGUACGGUACUGACGCUGAGACGCGAAAGCGUGGGGAGCGAACAGG
rnacentral:rRNA from 1 species